AAGCAAGUUUUUACAGAGCUGCCAAAUAUCUAUUCCAAAGCUGUAGAGGGGCUCUCUAGAGAAACCUGCAAGCAAAAAGCGAAGAAAUUACCAAAACUGCAUAGCGCCCCC